UACGGGGGGGGCAAGCGUUGUUCGGAAUUACUGGGCGUAAAGGGUUUGUAGGUGGCUUGCUAAGUCAGACAUGAAAUCCCUCAGCUUAACUGGGGAACUGCGUCUGAGACUGGCAGGCUUGAGUGCAGGAGAGGAACGCGGAAUUCCAGGUGUAGCGGUGAAAUGCGUAGAUAUCUGGAGGAACACCGGUGGCGAAGGCGGCGUUCUGGACUGUAACUGACACUGAGGAACGAAAGCCAGGGGAGCAAACGGG
rnacentral:rRNA from 1 species